UACGUAGGGACCAAGCGUUGUCCGGAAUCAUUGGGCGUAAAGAGCGUGUAGGCGGCUUGUUAAGUCUUGCGUGAAAUCUCGGGGCUCAACCCCGAGCGGUCGUGAGAAACUGGCAGGCUAGAGUGCGGGAGAGGAGAGUGGAUUCCUGGUGUAGCGGUGAAAUGCGCAGAUAUCAGGAAGAACACCCGUGGCGAAGGCGGCUCUCUGGAACGCAACUGACGCUGAGACGCGAAAGCGUGGGGAGCAAACAGG
rnacentral:rRNA from 1 species